rnacentral:rRNA from 1 species
AGAACGGAGAAGAAACCACAGGGGAUUGCCUCAGUAACGGCGAGUGAAGCGGCAACAGCUCAAAUUUGAAAUCUGGCCUCCGGGCCCGAGUUGUAAUUUGCAGAGGGAGUUUCGGCGGCGGCGGCGGCCUAAGUCCCUUGGAACGGGGCGUCAUAGAGGGUGAGAAUCCCGUAUGUGGCCGGCGGUCAAUUCCAUGUGAAACCCCUUCGACGAGUCGAGUUGUUUGGGAAUGCAGCUCAAAAUGGGUGGUAAAUUUCAUCUAAAGCUAAAUACCGGCCAGAGACCGAUAGCGCACAAGUAGAGUGAUCGAAAGAUGAAAAGCACUUUGGAAAGAGAGUUAAACAGUACGUGAAAUUGUUGAAAGGGAAGCGCUUGCAACCAGACUUGCUCGCGGGCGAUCAGCCUCCCGCGAGGGGGGUGCACUCGCCCGCGAUCAGGCCAGCAUCGGUUUUGGCGGGCGGAUAAAGUCCCCAGGAAUGUAGCUCCCCUCGGGGAGUGUUAUAGCCUGGGGCGGAAUGCGCCCAACCGGGACCGAGGACCGCGCUUCGGCUAGGAUGCUGGCGUAAUGGUUGUAAGCGACCCGUCUUGAAACACGGACCAAGGAGUCUAACAUCUAUGCGAGUGUUUGGGUGUUAAACCCAUGCGCGGAAUGAAAGUGAACGGAGGUGGGAACCCCCUCGGGGGCGCACCAUCGACCGAUCCUGAUGUCUUCGGAUGGAUUUGAGUACGAGCAUGGCUGUUGGGACCCGAAAGAUGGUGAACUAUGCCUGAAUAGGGUGAAGCCAGAGGAAACUCUGGUGGAGGCUCGCAGCGGUUCUGACGUGCAAAUCGAUCGUCAAAUUUGGGUAUAGGGGCGAAAGGUAUGUGGAUCCUACUAACUUGCGGUAUACAUUUGGAGAUGGAGGGUGCUGACUUCUGUUUUAGACUAAUCGAACCAUCUAGUAAACACACUCCUACUAGAGAUACCGGGAGCGGUCCGGGCUCCAGUAGUUCCCGUGUACGGGGGCAACACUGUCGGUCUCCGGGGAUGCCUUUCGUGCUACCCGGACUGAGCCCAGGCUCAGUCACAGACUAAGUGACGGUGGCCGCGUGUUUCUGCGGUUAGGAUAUAGUCGGCGGGGUCCUGACGGGCGCCUCCGAGCUC